ensembl:lncRNA
CCUGGUUGUCUAGGACCUCCCCUCACCUGGUUGUCUAGGACCUCCCCUCACCUGGUUGUCUAGGACCUCCCCUCACCUGGUUGUCUAGGACCUCCCCUCACCUGGUUGUCUAGGACCUCCCCUCACCUGGUUGUCUAGGACCUCCCCUCACCCGGUUGUCUAGGACCUCCCCUCACCUGGUUGUCUAGGACCUCCCCCUCACCUGGUUGUCUAGGACUUCAUACUGACACAUUAAAAAGUGAAAUAACUAAAACCAGCAGAUGACUGCCCUCCAUGGAAUGAGUUUGGACACCUUCUGAUCUAGUGCCUUUCGACAGAAGCACAGAUCCAGGAACAGUCUCCAUUUCCUCAACCUUAACUAGUGUAGUAUAAGUUAACUACUAGGGGGGGGGAUCUGCAUGAAAACUGACCUGAGAUCAGUGUCGUGUUUUAUAAGAUGACCACUUCCUCUCUUUUACAGGUGACAUUCCUUUCCUCCUUAAACAUGUGUCGCUUUGUAUUCCUUCCCCCCCACUGAUUCAGUAGCAGGAAGGAGUUUUGAGGUGUCGCGUUGUAUUCCCUCCCCCACUGAUUCAGUAGCAGGAAGGAGUUUUGAGGUGUCGCGUUUUAUUCCCCCCCCCCCCCCCACUGAUUCAGUAGCAGGAAGGAGUUUUGAGGUGUCGCGUUGUAUUCCCUCCCCCACUGAUUCAGUAGCAGGAAGGAGUUUUGAGGUGUCGCGUUGUAUUCCCUCCCCCACUGAUUCAGUAGCAGGAAGGAGUUUUGAGGUGUCGCGUUUGAUUCCCCCCCCACUGAUUCAGUAGCAGGAAGGAGUUUUGAGGUGUCACGUUUAUUCCUCCCCCCACUGAUUCAGUAGCAGGAAGGAGUUUUGAGGUGUCGCGUUUGAUUUCUUCCCCCACUGAUUCAGUAGCAGGAAGGAGUUUUGAGGUGUCGCGUUUUAUUCCCUCCCCCCCACUGAUUCAGUAGCAGGAAGGAGUUUUGAGGUGUUACGAUAUCAUAGAGCCUUUUAGCGUCACAGAAUACCAGUCUACUGAUAGCAUUAAUACAACGUUUGUUAGUUUGUACAUAUACCAGUAAUAGGAUCCAUGUUUCUCUAUCAUGUCUUUUACAUUUCUAGGAGAAGUUGUUGUUUUAACUAUUUUUUUUCAGAUGAUCUGUCUGUCUGUGGAAGAUUUAUUGUUAAUAAUUGUAAAGGAUCAAAAAUAAAUGGGAGUUUGUAGAGA